GCAACAUAGCUCAGUGGCAGAGUGCAUGCUUAUUAUGCAUGACGUCCUGGAUUCAAUCCCCAACA
rnacentral:tRNA from 1 species